UACUAUACGAUCCAGUCUAUGGUGACAGGUCUGGAGGAUACUAGCAUGUCGUUCAAGUGUUUAGCACAACCUUUUUUUUUUUUUUCCUUUUCUUAAACAAUUAGGACGUAUUAUUGCGCAGCCGAUAGUUCAAAUUGCUGGUCCGAAUUGGGCAUUUACUUACUAGAAUUGAUUUGCUAUUUAGUAUUUAAAACUAGGAAACCAUGCAGUGCUGGAUAUGCAUGAUGAAAGGAACUGUGUCACACCCUACGAUGCAAUUAAGGUAACUACGGCGGUAUAUUGCUGUUGGCGGUUGCCCUUCUGAUGGCAACAUUAAUCACAGGUGUAAUGAUGGGUUCGUCUCCAUCGUACACAAUUGAUACGCCCUACUACGCAUAUCCGCGCAUAUCACGUAUCCACUGACCACAAUGAGUCAUCCGAGUACUAAACGACCAAAGCUUCGAAUACAACCCCACAGCCUCUUAUUAUACCACCACAUAUUUCGCUUCAACCUAGUACAGCACUGAAGCUUAUGAAUACUAUGCUGCUUAAGUUACGACGCCGAAGCUCUUGUUGACUAAACUACAAGUAACACCAGUCCGAGCUACCAAACAGAGGCUCCAAAAUAUUACACUACCAAUGCUCCAAAGUACAACCUACCCAAAGUGGAAUUUUACAACCCAACUUACACCACACCCAGCUACCCGUACGAACCCGACAAGUUUUUCUUCUCCGAGCUAUACUUCCCACCCUUGAUCCGAACUUUACUUCAAUAAAAGCAGUAAAGAAUUUACUAGCUCUAAACCGCUCGAAUCUUACUGCACUGAAGCAAGCCAAACUAUUCUGCCUAACCUAGCCUAUUUUCUACGUAUACCCUACAAAUGUCAAGUAUUCGCAAACGCCAUAAUCGCAGAUCGAAAUACAAUCCGAGUAAGAACUUUU